rnacentral:rRNA from 1 species
AGUGAACGCUGGCGGUAGGCCUAACACAUGCAAGUCGAACGGCAGCACAGUAAGAGCUUGCUCUUACGGGUGGCGAGUGGCGGACGGGUGAGGAAUACAUCGGAAUCUACUUUUUCGUGGGGGAUAACGUAGGGAAACUUACGAUAAUACCGCAUACGACCUACGGGUGAAAGCAGGGGAUCUUCGGACCUUGCGCGAUUGAAUGAGCCGAUGUCGGAUUAGCUAGUUGGCGGGGUAAGGCCCACCAAGGCGACGAUCCGUAGCUGGUCUGAGAGGAUGAUCAGCCACACUGGAACUGAGACACGGUCCAGACUCCUACGGGAGGCAGCAGUGGGGAAUAUUGGACAAUGGGCGCAAGCCUGAUCCAGCCAUACCGCGUGGGUGAAGAAGGCCUUCGGGUUGUAAAGCCCUUUUGUUGGGAAAGAAAAGCAGCAGGUUAAUACCCCGCUGUUCUGACGGUACCCAAAGAAUAAGCACCGGCUAACUUCGUG